UAUACAGGUGUUGCAUGGCUGUCGUCAGCUCGUGUCGUGAGAUGUUCGGUUAAGUCCGCUAACGAGCGCAACCCUCGUCGUAUGUUAUAUGUGUCAUACGAGACUGCCGGUAAAAAGCCGGAGGAAGGUGAGGAUGAUGUCAAGUCAGCAUGACCUUUAUAUCCAGGGCUACACACACGCUACAAUGGUCUGUACAAUGGGUAGCCAAGCCGCGAGGCGGAGCCAAUCCUGAAAGCAGGCCUCAGUUCAGAUUGCAGUCUGCAACUCGACUGCAUGAAGCCGGAGUUGCUAGUAACCGCAGGUCAGCAAUACUGCGGUGAAUACGUUCCCGGGUCUU
rnacentral:rRNA from 1 species